rnacentral:rRNA from 1 species
GAUGAACGCUAGCUACAGGCUUAACACAUGCAAGUCGAGGGAAACGACAGAGGAAGCUUGCUUCCUUUGGGCGUCGACCGGCGCACGGGUGAGUAACGCGUAUCCAACCUUCCCGCAAGUAAGGGAUAACCCGUAGAAAUGCGGCCUAAUACCUUAUGUUUUCCUUAGAGGGCAUCUGAUGAGGAACAAAGAUCCGUCGCUUGCGGAUGGGGAUGCGUCUGAUUAGUUAGUCGGCGGGGUAACGGCCCACCGAGACGACGAUCAGUAGGGGUUCUGAGAGGAAGGUCCCCCCACAUUGGAACUGAGACACGGUCCAAACUCCUACGGGAGGCAGCAGUGAGGAAUAUUGGUCAAUGGACGAAAGUCUGAACCAGCCAAGUAGCGUGCAGGAUGACGGCCCUAUGGGUUGUAAACUGCUUUUAUAAGGGAUAAAGUGAGUCUCGUGAGACUUUUUUGCAUGUACCUUAUGAAUAAGGACCGGCUAAUUCCGUG